AGCGAACGCUGGCGGCAUGCCUAACACAUGCAAGUCGCACGGGGGGGCUUCGGCCUCCCAGUGGCGGACGGGUGAGGAACGCGUAGGGACCUGUCGAGGGGUGGGGGAUAACCGCGGGAAACUGCGGCUAAUACCGCAUGACGCCGCGGCGUGACAGCCGGGGCCAAAGGCGAAAGCCGCCCGCCGAGGGGCCUGCGUCCGAUUAGCUGGUUGGCGGGGUAGCGGCCCACCAAGGCGUCGAUCGGUAGCUGGUCUGAGAGGGUGAUCAGCCACACCGGGACUGAGACACGGCCCGGACUCCUACGGGAGGCAGCAGUGGGGAAUAUUGGACAAUGGGAGCAAGCCUGAUCCAGCAAUGCCGCGUGGGUGAAGAAGGUCUUCGGAUUGUAAAGCCCUUUCGGCGGGGACGAUGGUGACGGUACCCGCAGAAGAAGCCCCGGCUAACUUCGUG
rnacentral:rRNA from 1 species